rnacentral:rRNA from 1 species
GAUUAUGGCUCAGGACGAACGCUGGCGGCGUGCUUAACACAUGCAAGUCGAGCGAUGAAGCUCUUCGGAAGUGGAUUAGCGGCGGACGGGUGAGUAACACGUGGGUAACCUGCCUCAUAGAGGGGAAUAGCCUUCCGAAAGGAAGAUUAAUACCGCAUAAGAUUGUAAUAUCGCAUGAUAUAGCAAUUAAAGGAGUAAUCCGCUAUGAGAUGGACCCGCGUCGCAUUAGCUAGUUGGUGAGGUAACGGCUCACCAAGGCGACGAUGCGUAGCCGACCUGAGAGGGUGAUCGGCCACAUUGGGACUGAGACACGGCCCAGACUCCUACGGGAGGCAGCAGUGGGGAAUAUUGCACAAUGGGGGAAACCCUGAUGCAGCCAACGCCGCGUGAGUGAUGACGGUCUUCGGAUUGUAAAGCUCUGUCUUCAGGGACGAUAAUGACGGUACCUGAGGAGGAAGCCACGGCUAACUACGUGCCAGCCGCUGC